GGCGGCUUCACUUCAAAAUCUAUAAAUAGAUUGUUAUCACAAGUAAUAGAACACAAGUAAGUGAUAGAUGUUACAGAAGAUUAAGAUUAUCAAUGGAAUUUUGAUUGGAAGAUGAAAGACUGAGUUCCGAUUAGAAGAUGAAAGGUGAGAAAAUGAUCAUUGAAAAGGGUUUUCAAUUCAGAUGCUCAAGGACGAGAGUGAUACCAGAAUACGACCACUUCAUGCCUACGAUGGCGUAUAUAGAACUUGAAAAACUAGUGCUAAUUAAGGAGGAGAAGAAACCGUCCUGGAAUGCAUGAUGCUGAGGUGAUUGCUUUGUUACCUGACGUUGAGUUCCAAGAGACGACGUUGAAUAGGGGAGAGGACGUGAGGGAAAAGUCUACAUUUGUCCUGAGCGCAGUUGCAAACAUCACGACCCGAAACAAGCUUUGGGCGAUAUCACAGCAAUACGCAGAAAACACGGCCUAGAGAAGAAUUGGAAGUGUCCAAAAUGCCUCAAGAAAUACGCAGUAGAGGCAGAGACAGAGACCGACGCAAAAGAACACCUCUUUGUGGGUGAGAGAGGAAUAAAAAGAUGUGUAAAUUAUAGGGUAUAAAAUUAGGGUUUUCAUUGGUGUUAUUUUUUAUUUCCAACUAAUUAUGUGUUUGGUUUGGUUGUGAUUUUGAACAUUAAUGAAACCUUGAUUUGUAGUUUGUUUCCCUUUA